rnacentral:misc_RNA from 1 species
UUAUUUAUAGACUUGAAGUUGCUUAAGUGUUCACACAAAUUGCUUGAUGAUUUUAUUGUUUAGAGAGACUGAUAUUUGUUCUUUAACAAUGUGGUAAAAAGUAUAAGUAAAGAUUCCUUGAUUAAUUUAGGGUUAUUUUUAUUUUCGAUUGAGAUGUAUUUUUAUGUUUUGAUUGAUAAAUGGGAAUAAUUUUUAGUUUAUUUAAUUAACGAGUCUUGGUAAUUUUUGAAAACCGGUGUUGAGAUAUAGUUUUGAUUGGUUUUAGUUAAUAGAUUUUAGAUUUAUUGAUAUAAGACUUUUUGGGGUUAUAUAUGAU